rnacentral:rRNA from 1 species
GACGAACGCUGGCGGCGUGCCUAAUACAUGCAAGUAGAACGCUGAAGCUUGGUGCUUGCACCGAGCGGAUGAGUUGCGCACGUGUGAGUAACGCGUAGGUAACCUGCCUGGUAGCGGGGGAUAACUAUUGGAAACGAUAGCUAAUACCGCAUAAGAUUAGAUGUUGCAUGACAUUUGCUUAAAAGGUGCAAUUUCAUCACUACCAGAUGGACCUGCGUUGUAUUAGCUAGUUGGUGAGGUAACGGCUCACCAAGGCAACGAUACAUAGCCGACCUGAGAGGGUGAGCGGCCACACUGGGACUGAGACACGGCCCAGACUCCUACGGGAGGGAGCAGUAGGGAAUCUUCGGCAAUGGACGGAAGUCUGACCGAGCAACGCCGCGUGAGUGAAGAAGGUUUUCGGAUCGUAAAGCUCGGUUGUAAGAGAAGAACGAGUGUGAGAGUGGAAAGUUCACAGUGUGACGGUAACUUACCAGAAAGGGACGGCUAACUACGUG